ACGUGCAUUCCUAAUUUCCUCCUAUAUCUCUCCCUUUCGCUUUCACUUCCAUUUCAUUUCAUUCAUACCUUCGCUUCACGAAUUCUGCUGUGAUAGUGAAGACAAAAAGGGAAGCUAGCCAUGGAACCCCCUCCAACCCAGUCUUUUGAAGUUUCCAGCAAAGACUUCCAAGCUGGGAAUGAUGAUCCCCAGGACAAGGCCGUCAAUGAGUGUUGUUCUUGCUGCUAUGAUUGCACAGGAGGCUGCCUCGAUUACUUGUUCUGUAACUUCUGUUGAACUCUUCAAUGGGAUUAUUAUGGAUUCAUGGGACAAGACCCAGAAAACAGGGCUGGGGACGCCUCCUUUUGUAAUUAUUGCAUGUAUUAUGGGAAUUUAGCAAGGGAAAAAGGUUAUGCUUUUAGAGUACUUUCGAGAAUUUUGAAGAA